GCCCAAGGUAGUGUGGACACUUUUCACAAACUAGAUCCUUUUUACAAACAUGAUCCUCAAACAUGCAGAACUUAGAUGUCCAUUAUUCCUCACCAGAACUCUUAAAGGAAAGAUUGGAGGCAAAGAGUUCAGCAAAGAGACUAUUGCAACAGUCCAUGCAAGACUAGAAUUUAUGGCAGGGAUGAUGAUACAGAUAAGGUUUAGUACAAGUGAGAGAGUUAGAGAACUGGGCCAAGGGAGAGUACAAAGAGAAGAGCAACAAGGAGCUGAGGACCAAACUUUGGAGAAUUUCCCAAUCAGAGAUCAGGAGAAGGAAAAAGAAUCUGUGAUAAAUGGAGAAAUGGUGAGAAAAAAAUGAUAAAAACAAGUUCAUGGCAUCCCAGAAGGGCAGGAAGGAGGGUGCUUCCAAGAGGAGGUGAUGUUAGAAGUGCCAAGUGCAGCAAAGGGGCCGCACAUGAUCAGGACCAUGGAGAGGGUAUUGGCUGCCUUGACCAGAAAUUUACCAGGACCUUUCCAGGGUCACACAGGUAUGCCUGCUGUACGCAGCGCCUGUGCACAUUCUUAAAGUAAUGCCCACAGUGAACUUCGGUAAACCAAGACUUCAAACACACAGAAUUGAGAUGUUCAUUACUUAGAGAAGUUCUGCUGCAAUAAAUUUAUAUAUCUGAUUAUUAAGCUUGGAGCUUUGAUCUUACCAAUACAGACUUUUAUACAAUAAUUGGAGUGGGCUUUACGCAGAUGCCAGACUUGUUUGAACUUGAUGAUUCGUAAUAGUUUAUUAUUUAGGAACAAUUAUCCAAGAAGCAUGAGUAAUCUGAACUGACCGUGCAUAUGACACCACUUCUGUUUUGUCACAAGAUGUAAGAUGAGCCUUAUUUGAUAUCCUAAAGAGGCAAUGAGGAAAAAAUUCAAGUAUGGGCCUGAGGAGGCAUACAUUGGCCAGAAAGAGGAGGGGCUUCCUAUGUCCUUGCUAGCAGAGGAUAAAGCAGACAACAGAUUCCAAGCCUCCCAGCUACAGCUACCAAUCCAAGCAGCUUCCAAGCCUCCCAGCUACAGCUACAGACCAAAAACCAGAUGGCUUUGCAUUUGGCUCUUCUCUUCCUCCCUCUUACCUCCUAACAUAGAUCCUAAAUAUGAAAAUGGUUAAAAGAGAGAGGGAAAAUCUUGGAACAAGAUAUUGGGGAUCCUAAUGGUCAACUCAUCCAAACCGUUCGUUUUACGAAGGGGAAACUGAGGCUCAGAAUGGAGAAAUGCCUUGCUUAGUAUCAUCUAGCUAGGACCCAGAUCUUCUGAUUCCCACUGCAUUAUCAGCCCAAUCACCAUUCUACUGAAAUGUUGAAGAAUUUCACAAACAAUCUGAUCUGUUAUUACCUAAGGACAGAAAUCAAGGGCAGUGAGAAAAACAUCUUGUUAACCAUAGAUAUGCUGUGUUGAAGAAGAAUUAUGAGUCAAUGUGUAAAUAAAGAUAGAAUUCAGCAAUAGUA